UACGGAGGGGGCUAGCGUUGUCCGAAGUUACUGGGCGUAAAGCGCGCGUAGGCGGGUUGGUAAGUCCGCUGUGAAAGCCCGGAGCUCAACUCCGGAGGGUCGGUGGAUACUGCCAGUCUUGAAGGUGCUAGGGGGAGAUGGAAUUACCGGUGUAGCGGUGAAAUGCGUAGAUAUCGGUAGGAACACCUGAGGCGAAGGCGGGCUACUGGGCCGAUACUGACGCUGAGGCGCGAAAGCCAGGGGAGCAAACGGG
rnacentral:rRNA from 1 species